UGGGUUAAAUUCGGCAAACCGGGUUUCGAAAAACUGGAUUUCGACCAACUGGGCCGGGAUGAUACCAACAGGGAUCGCCUACAGUGUAGUGGGUAAAGAAGGAAUAUACACAGGAAAAUGGCGAAAAGUGUGGCGCUUUUCAUAUAAACAAUACGUAGGGCCUAUGCAGAGUUGAAAGAUUACGAAGAAGACUUUAAAAUUAAUAACAAUUGAUGUAGACAAAGAAUACACAUACGUCAGGAAAGGAUGUCCGGACUCGAUCGUGAAAGGGCUACAUAACUUACCAACUUAUAUAGACUAAUGUUAUCACUCAUCAAGCUUCUCGCAAAAAAAAAAAAAUAGAUAUGAAAUAAUUAUUUAAAUAUAGUGUGAAUUUAAGUAUUUUUAAA